rnacentral:lncRNA from 1 species
GUUUUCCUAAAAUUUUAUGGGCAUAGAAAUCUUCUUUAAAUUAUGCAAAGGGUUUAGAAAUCAUGAUUUUUAAGAAAAGGGUUUUGGAUUUACGAUUUUAAUCAUGUUUUUAGAAGCCUUGAUGAUAUUGUUUUGGUCUUUAGGCCUUCCCCCAAAGUGAUUUGAAAUCCUAUGUAUAUGUAUGUAUGUGUUUUAAUGUGAUGUUUGAAUUGAGAGCAUGACUCACAUGAAAUCCCUCUUUUGAUAUGAUUUAUCCUAUUUUUCAUAUGAUAUGGAUUGUUUUGAAAUGCAU